rnacentral:rRNA from 1 species
UGUGUAGGCGGUUCUUUAAGUUUGGUGUGAAAUCUCCCGGCUCAACUGGGAGGGAGCGCCGAAUACUGAGGGACUAGAGUACGGGAGAGGAAAGUGGAAUUCCUGGUGUAGCGGUGAAAUGCGUAGAUAUCAGGAGGAACACCGGUGGUGUAGACGGCUUUCCGGACCGUAACUGACGCUGAUACACGAAAGCGUGGGUAGCAAACAGGAUUAGAUACCCUGGUAGUCCACGCCCUAAACGAUGCAUAUUUGGUGUGGGCAGUUCAUUCUGUUCCGUGCCGGAGCUAACGCGUUAAAUAUGCCGCCUGGGGAGUACAGUCGCAAGGCUGAA